CUCAGAUUGAACGCUGGCGGCAGGCCUAACACAUGCAAGUCGGACGGUAGCACAGAGAGCUUGCUCUCGGGUGACGAGUGGCGGACGGGUGAGUAAUGUCUGGGGAUCUGCCCGAUAGAGGGGGAUAACCACUGGAAACGGUGGCUAAUACCGCAUAACGUCGCAAGACCAAAGAGGGGGACCUUCGGGCCUCUCACUAUCGGAUGAACCCAGAUGGGAUUAGCUAGUAGGCGGGGUAACGGCCCACCUAGGCGACGAUCCCUAGCUGGUCUGAGAGGAUGACCAGCCACACUGGAACUGAGACACGGUCCAGACUCCUACGGGAGGCAGCAGUGGGGAAUAUUGCACAAUGGGCGCAAGCCUGAUGCAGCCAUGCCGCGUGUAUGAAGAAGGCCUUCGGGUUGUAAAGUACUUUCAGCGGGGAGGAAGGCAUUGUGGUUAAUAACCGCAGUGAUUGACGUUACCCGCAGAAGAAGCACCGGCUAACUCCGUGCCAGCAGCCGCGGUAAUACGGAGGGUGCAAGCGUUAAUCGGAAUUACUGGGCGUAAAGCGCACGCAGGCGGUCUGUUAAGUCAGAUGUGAAAUCCCCGGGCUUAACCUGGGAACUGCAUUUGAAACUGGCAGGCUUGAGUCUCGUAGAGGGGGGUAGAAUUCCAGGUGUAGCGGUGAAAUGCGUAGAGAUCUGGAGGAAUACCGGUGGCGAAGGCGGCCCCCUGGACGAAGACUGACGCUCAGGUGCGAAAGC
rnacentral:rRNA from 1 species